GGAGCAAUACCCAAGAGGCUGAAGGGACCGGUUUCGAAAGCCGGGAGUGGUCGCAAGGCCAGCGGGGGUUCAAAUCCCUCUUGCUCCGCCA
rnacentral:tRNA from 1 species